rnacentral:rRNA from 1 species
UGGGGAAUAUUGGACAAUGGGGGGAACCCUGAUCCAGCAAUGCCGCGUGUGUGAAGAAGGCCUGAGGGUUGUAAAGCACUUUCAGAGGGGAGGAGGACUAUUAGGUUAAGAGCUAGAUAGUUGGACGUUACCCUCAGAAGCAGCACCGGCUAACUACGUGCCAGCAGCCGCGGUAAUACGUAGGGACCAAGCGUUGUUCGGAUUUACUGGGCGUAAAGGGCGCGUAGGCGGCAAUUCAAGUCAUCUGUGAAAUCUCCGGGCUUAACUCGGAACGGUCAGAUGAUACUGCUUUGCUAGAGUGCAGAAGGGGCAAUCGGAAUUCUUGGUGUAGCGGUGAAAUGCGUAGAUAUCAAGAGGAACACCUGAGGUGAAGACGGGUUGCUGGGCUGACACUGACGCUGAGGCGCGAAAGCCAGGGGAGCAAACGGGAUUAGAUACCCAAGUAGUCCCUGAGCGGGCUGGCAAGGCGCAU